GCCUGUUUAUCAAAAACAUUUCUGAGGGGAAAAUGUUUUUAGUAUAACCUGCUCAAUGCUUUAGUAAAUAGCUGCAGUAUUUUGACUGUACAAAGGUAGCAUAAUCAUUAGUCUUUUGAUUGGAGGCUCGUAUGAAUGGUUGAACAGAAUAUUAACUUUUUUAAUUAUUCGAUGUUUUAAUUUAUAGUUUAUGUAAAAAUGCAUAGUUACUUGAAAGGGACGAUAAGACCCUAUAGAAUUUAAAAAUGUUCAUGAGAAAAUAUUGUAUUUUUUUGUUGGGGUGACAGUAAAUAAACUUUUAUGUAAUUCUCAUUGUUGAAUGUACAAUUGAUCCUAAUGUUUAGAUAAAAAGAUAAAAUUACCUUAGGGAUAACAGCAUGAUUUUUUUUAAAAGAUCUUAUUAAUAAAAAAGAUUAUGACCUCGAUGUUGAAUUAAAAUAAAAUUUUGGUGUAGAAGCUUAAUUUUUUAGUCUGUUCGACUUUAAAUUUUACAUGAUCUGAGUUCAGACCGG
rnacentral:rRNA from 1 species